AGAUAAAAUGACUAAACGGUAGCAUUUGGUUCGGGUAUAAGUAAGAACUAGUUAUUACAUGGAUAGGUAUAAACAUAAGGAUAAGAAAAAUAGCGUUUGGAUGAAAAUUGGGUUGUUUCGAAGGAUAAAAAAAAUAGCGUCUGGAUAGAUAAUAUGGAAUAAGAAAAAUAGUAGAUAGUUAUAUAUAGAAAAUGGAGGUGUUGGUGAGAAUAGUUAUACCAGAUUAUUUUAGAUAACCGAGAAUUACUAUUUUCAAAUAAAAAAUUUACGUUUGAAUAUAAAAGGGAAUAAGAAGUUAUCCCUCCCCUUAUCUCCAAUCCAAACACUGUCUUA
rnacentral:lncRNA from 1 species